UAAACCAUGCACCGAAGCUGCGGCAGCGACACUAUGUGUUGUUGGGUAGGGGAGCGUUCUGUAAGCCUGCGAAGGUGUGCUGUGAGGCAUGCUGGAGGUAUCAGAAGUGCGAAUGCUGACAUAAGUAACGAUAAAGCGGGUGAAAAGCCCGCUCGCCGGAAGACCAAGGGUUCCUGUCCAACGUUAAUCGGGGCAGGGUGAGUCGACCCCUAAGGCGAGGCCGAAAGGCGUAGUCGAUGGGAAACAGGUUAAUAUUCCUGUACUUGGUGUUACUGCGAAGGGGGGACGGAGAAGGCUAUGUUAGCCGGGCGACGGUUGUCCCGGUUUAAGCAUGUAGGCUGGUUAUCCAGGCAAAUCCGGAUAAUCAAGGCUGAGGUGUGAUGACGAGGCACUACGGUGCUGAAGUAACAAAUGCCCUGCUUCCAGGAAAAGCCUCUAAGCAUCAGGUAACAUCAAAUCGUACCCCAAACCGACACAGGUGGUCAGGUAGAGAAUACCAAGGCGCUUGAGAGAACUCGGGUGAAGGAACUAGGCAAAAUGGUGCCGUAACUUCGGGAGAAGGCACGCUGGUGUGUAGGUGAAGUCCCUGCGGAUGGAGCUGAGACCAGUCGAAGAUACCAGCUGGCUGCAACUGUUUAUUAAAAACACAGCACUGUGCAAACACGAAAGU
rnacentral:rRNA from 1 species